rnacentral:rRNA from 1 species
GUGAGGAAUAUUGGUCAAUGGACGAGAGUCUGAACCAGCCAAGUAGCGUGAAGGAUGACUGCCCUAUGGGUUGUAAACUUCUUUUAUACGGGAAUAAAGUGAGGCACGUGUGCCUUUUUGUAUGUACCGUAUGAAUAAGGAUCGGCUAACUCCGUGCCAGCAGCCGCGGUAAUACGGAGGAUCCGAGCGUUAUCCGGAUUUAUUGGGUUUAAAGGGAGCGUAGAUGGAUGUUUAAGUCAGUUGUGAAAGUUUGCGGCUCAACCGUAAAAUUGCAGUUGAUACUGGAUAUCUUGAGUGCAGUUGAGGCAGGCGGAAUUCGUGGUGUAGCGGUGAAAUGCUUAGAUAUCACGAAGAACCCCGAUUGCGAAGGCAGCUUGCUAAACUGUAACUGACGUUCAUGCUCGAAAGUGUGGGUAUCAAACAGGAUUAGAAACCCUUGUAGUCC